UACGGGGGGAGCAAGCGUUGUUCGGAUUUACUGGGCGUAAAGGGCGCGUAGGCGGUCGUGACAAGUCACUUGUGAAAUCUCCGGGCUUAACUCGGAACGGUCAACUGAUACUGUCAUGCUAGAGUGCAGAAGGGGCAAUCGGAAUUCUUGGUGUAGCGGUGAAAUGCGUAGAUAUCAAGAGGAACACCUGAGGUGAAGACGGGUUGCUGGGCUGACACUGACGCUGAAGCACGAAAGCUAGGGUAGCAAACGGG
rnacentral:rRNA from 1 species